ensembl:lncRNA
AGGGGGCCAGGCCCCCGCGGCCGGGUGCAGGCCCCAGGCUUCCCCCAGCCCCGGAAUGGUCUGCCCUGUAGGAAACGCACACGCUCCACUAUUGUCUCAUCAGCACAAAGUUCUGCCACACUGCGGGGAAAGUCUGGAGGCUCACGAUGACUCAGACACAGAUAAUUCUUCCCCUAAUAGCACUGAAUCACGAUCCCAGCGGCUAGUGUCACCCCUUUUCUCAAGGACUAACGCUGCCGCAGAUCCAGUUACGGGAAGCUGUUUACGCACACACGGAUACACACGCACGCAUCCAUACGUGCAGACGUGUUGGGAAUGCAUUUUCAGCCGACUUAAGCACCUGAGCACUAAGCCUCGAGUCCAGAUUUCUACGUGGGUGUCUUUCCGGGGGUCCCAGAUGCCCGUGCGUUACAAACGGCUUAGGGUGUGCGUUCACUUAACUUCCUGACUCCUGGCCAUGUUGUUCCCUCCUCGUGAUAACUCCGCAGUGGAGAUGGAUUCCGUCCAAGACACCGACGUAGCUCUGCUGAAGGAUCAGCGCCGCAGUCCAGGCGUUACCUUCCGCUGUGGCAUUUCUCUCGGUGCCUAACAUUCGCUAACGUUCACUGCUGAUGCAGCCGGGGCCUCUCCAACUUAUGGCGUUUACAACAGAAACUACUACAGAAGAGCUCAAGGGAGGAGCUUGUGCCUGCAAAGCUGGACUCUUAGACACGGGCCAUUCUGCACGUGUGUGAUGUGUGUGUGGUGUAUGUCUGUGUGCAUGCGUGCGGUAUGCGUGUUUUUCGAUGGAGGAACGGGGGAGUAGAGAGACAAGGAGCAAGAGGGGUGAGAACCUUUGCAAGAAGGAUCUGCGAAUCAUAAAAUGCAUAGAAUGUAAGCUCCUUGUGAUUAAUGAUCUGCACUAAUUUGGAUAGCAGGCAUGGUAAAGGUCAUUGACAAUUGUUGCUGGUUUCAGCAUGAAUGCCUAAGCGGGAUGUAUUCUUGAACAAUCAAAAUUAAGUCAUUCACGGAAAAGAAGUGCCCACAAUUCAUUUCAGUACACAGUAAAAAUGCACAAAUAAAAGUAUCCCCCAAUUCAACUAAUUACAUGGAUAUAACUUGCAUAUAUAGACACAGAUAUCUGUGUAGACAGAUAUAUUAUCACAUAUGUGAGUACUCACCCACAAAGAUUAAAAUUCGCAUACUUGAAAUUUUCAUAGUUUUUCUGUAGCAUUUUGGAAUGGAUUUGAGUCAAUGGUAAAAACUUGCUACAUUCAUCUACAUUCUUGGGUCCAUUUAAGACUACAGUAUUGCACUAAUAACUUCCAUGUGUUGAAAAUUAACUUAGAUCAAUGAACAGUGAGCAAAACUUCCAAACUCCUCCAUGUAAACUUGUGAUUUUCAUGACUUGCCUCCUUUCUCUGACCUGCUUAUCGCCCACACGUGGUUUCACUCAGGACUAUGCCUGUUCCACGAAGAUGCUAUGCUUUAAGAGAUUUCCUUUCUUCCACGCUUUGCUACAAGGCGUGCACACUCUGAGAACGUAAUUUGAGAGAUGGGCAAGGGUUACAUUCUGGAAAAUGGCAGCUUGAAGGCCAUCCCGGUUUUGUUACUGGUGAGAGUGCCAUUCAUGACAGGAGAAAUGUGUUUACAUUAUUUGUACACAAAGUCACUGGUAGUUGUUUGUCAAUGCACUAUCAUUAGCUUGUUCCAGGGGAAAAAAUAGUAUAAAAACAAAAUAUUUAACGAGUUCCCAUACUUUUCCUAUAACAUAUUUAGCAUUGCCAAAAUUUCAACUGUUUACUGUCUUCAAACACUGAAAGUAGACAUUAAAGAUUAAGGGCACAGUUUCUGCACAAAACACAAAUUCCUGAAAUCCCCCAGGAGAGCUUGUCCUAUUUUGAAAUGUUUAGGUAAAUUACAAUAUUUGGGUGGAGAAAAAUCAGCGGUUAAUGGAUUAAUGGUUAAACACA